rnacentral:rRNA from 1 species
ACGUCCUGACAGGGAGGCAGCAGGUGGGAAUGAUUGCACAAUGGGGAACCUGAUGCAGCCAUGCCGCGUGUGUGAAGAAGGCCUUCGGGUUGUAAAGCACUUUCAGUAGGGAGGAAGGUAGUGUAGUUAACACCUGCAUUAUUUGACGUUACCUACAGAAGAAGCACCGGCUAACUCCGUGCCAGCAGCCGCGGUAAUACGGAGGGUGCGAGCGUUAAUCGGAAUUACUGGGCGUAAAGCGCAUGCAGGCGGCCUGUUAAGUCAGAUGUGAAAGCCCGGGGCUUAACCUCGGAAUUGCAUUUGAAACUGGCAGGCUAGAGUCUUGUAGAGGGGGGUAGAAUUUCAGGUGUAGCGGUGAAAUGCGUAGAGAUCUGAAGGAAUACCAGUGGCGAAGGCGGCCCCCUGGACAAAGACUGACGCUCAGAUGCGAAAGCGUGGGGAGCAAAGCAGGAUUAGAUGA